ACCGCUGUAGCUUAAUGGAAAAGCUCCAUAACUGGAGGUUCGAUUCCUUCCGGCGGUC
rnacentral:tRNA from 1 species